GCCCAAACGGGUUCUGUACCUGGCGCCCGCGUCCAUCCUCGGGGAGAGCGUGUCUGGUAUUAAGUUGUCGGGCUCGGGACCCCCGUCAUUUACUGUGAGCAAAAUAGAGUGUUCAAAGCAGGCUUAUGCCAUGAUUACAUUAGCAUGGAAUAAUAAGAUAAGACCUUGGUCUAUUUUGUUGGUUUGCAUUCCAUGGUAAUGAUUAAUAGGGAUAGUUGGGGGUAUU
rnacentral:rRNA from 1 species